ACUUAUUGUUGAGGAAGCCUCUUGCUGUUUGAAGGAGAGGCUGCUCUGGUAUUUCACAGCACACUGAGCUGCUCACAGAGGUUUGGUGGAUGAAGAUUGUCUUACUGUGUUCUUGGGCCAAUAGAAAGGCAUCUGCUGGCAGUCAAGUUAUGUGAAAGAAAUAAAGAAGUGUGUCUAUGUAAAAGGAGGCACAGAGGGACAUCUGUCCAGGAAGUGAAGACCAGAGUCAGGGGACCUUCAGAAUCCGUCUUUCCUUCACAUGCUGAAAGCCUGUGAAAAUUGAUGUAAAUGCUUAUGAAAUAGCGGAGAAAGGACAAAUGAGCACUUCGACAAAGAAAGGGGAGGGACAGGAUAUUUUGUGUUUCUUCCCACUCUGACAGUGGCUGCCAGAGGCUGCCUUUCUGCAGCAAACUUCCCAUGUUUUCUUUUUAUAAGGUUUUUGGCCACCUAUUAAUUUUCUUCAGCCUUCUCUGGUUGAUCUUGUUCUGAUUUAGUUUCCUUUUGGGCAAGGAUGUGGGUCUAAUCAUUAACUCAGCCUACAAGCUUGUUGCCUUCAAAGAGUAACUCCUUCAAUCCAGGGGGCUGCGGUGGGGAAAAAAAUAUCCAACACUUUUAAAGGAAAGCGCUCUUUGAAAAUAAGAGAAGGAUAAAAUACUCUAUUGUCUGCUUUUAAAAUUAAGGGCUCUCCUUUAUAACUGGAUGCAGCACUUUACUCAAUACAUAUGACUAGCGAUAGAAUAAAUUUCAAGACCAUAUUUUGGCCAGUGAAAGGAAAGAUGCUGUAGAGGAAAUGUUUAGAUGGGGAAAUAAAGAGCUCAGAAAAGAGGCAGAUUCAACCUUGAUAUUUUCCAAAUUCCUGAAAAACAAAUUCUGCAAGGGUUCAUACGUAGUUCCUGGGCAGCACAGAGUGGUAGAAACACCAUGUGCAUUGGGGCCAGGGAGGCAGGCAUGGAGCCUCGGGGUGUUCUGGGUAAUUUUCAGCAGUGGCUUCUGCUUUCAGCCCCGAUUGUUUCAUGGGGUUAUCAACCAGUAAUGAGAAAAAUGUGCAUAAAAUAUCUGGCACAGGC
rnacentral:lncRNA from 1 species